rnacentral:tRNA from 1 species
GCGUGCGUAGCUCAACUGGAUAGAGCAUCGGUCUUCGAAACCGAAGGUUGGGGGUUCGAUUCCCUUCGCGCGCG